ACGAAGCAGUGUUCCCGUGAGCAGUGUUGGCCUCGGUGCUGGGCUGUCUCUCUCGCCCUCUCUAGACUAUUCUUGCUCUUUAUCUCUAUCCAUCUCUGCUCUGUCGAACUCCAUCGAACUCGCGAACGGUUGAAAGCGCAUAACCCAGAAGAGUGUGAGGGAGAGAGAAGAGAAUUGAACCACCCAAAUUAGAUCUGACCCAAACCGCAAUUCUCUCUUAUCACCACUCAUCAAUAACUCUUUGGUACCACCGUCUCAAUCUCCGUCAAACCCCAAACCUCUCAAGGCCGAAUUGUCUUCUACACGGCCAAAUAUUCAACAGGCCAAUAAUCUCCAAUGUUUGGUUUCAUUCGAGGCAAAGAAGGAUCAAAAGAAGACUUGAAGGACCUAAUCAGGUCCAACCCCUUCACUUUGAGUCGUUUAUGAACCAAGUUUCUCAUUCCUUUCAUUCCAGAAGGGUCGCUGUCAUUGUCGUAAAAACCUGGUUUGGGUUAAGGAUGCAAAAGUCUAUUUAUGUGUUUAAGCUCUUUGGAGUUGUUUAAGUUUGAAUUGAGAUACUGAUUCACAAUUUAUGAUCAUUUGUCUUCCUCAGUUUUCAAUUGCGGGAAUGGGUGAAAUUUGAUUUUCACUUGGUGACAUGUUUUUCCUUUGGUCAUCUAAAGCCUAGAGAACGGGUUAAGGAGCUUGGAGAUCAGGUUGAGGGCGGGAUGGGGAUAGAUAAGAGUUUUGGUUCUUAAACAAUUUAAGUGAAAUGUAUGAGCUUUGAGAGGAGGUUGGGAGAGGAAGUUUUUCCUUAACUUGCAUAGCUACUUUUAAGAAGGGAGAGCUUAAGGGCCACCAUGCUGCUGUCAGAUCAUCCCCAGAGCCAAGGAAACAAGAGGUGCGAAUUCACUCUUGGGGCCUGAGGAAGAUGAAUACAAGACAAGCUUCUCCAAGCCAUUUCAUUCUGUGAAGUUAGUGACAAAUCCAGCAAGACAUAAUGACUUUCGAUGAACUCACUUUGCAAGAUCCAAAAGCAAACAAGGUCACACAGUCUGUAAAGAUGGUGAACAAGUUAGGGUGCCAAUGUAAGUAAAACAAAAUCCUCCACUAAAAUUUUCCUUGCAGGCUUGCAGCUAUUUUUAGCUAUUUUCCUCAAUAAGGUAAAGCAGCAUGCAUUAGGGUACAUACACCAACAGAAAACAAGAGCAUUAGAUGUAUGGCUAUUUUCUAGCUUCUGAAAAUCAGUUACUUCUGUUUUACGCAUUUUAAGUUUAAAUACUGCCUUUGUUUGAACAUUUCAUCAACAAUUUUCGUUUCCUGCUAAUACUACCUUGCACUAUUGGUUCCUUAUAUUCUUUGGAAGA